AAGAUUAUUUUGUGCAGCCGACAUGGUAACUGUCACAUCAGUUACCAUGUCGGCUGCACAAAAUAAUCUUG
rnacentral:miRNA from 14 species